rnacentral:rRNA from 1 species
UACGUAGGGUGCGAGCGUUAAUCGGAAUUACUGGGCGUAAAGCGUGCGCAGGCGGUUCGCUGUGUCCUGUGUGAAAGCCCCGGGCUUAACCUGGGAAUGGCAUGGGAAACUGGCGGGCUGGAGUGUGGCAGAGGGGGUGGAAUUCCGCGUGUAGCAGUGAAAUGCGUAGAGAUGCGGAGGAACACCGAUGGCGAAGGCAGCCCCCUGGGCUAACACUGACGCUCAGGCACGAAAGCGUGGGAGCAAACAGG